ACAACCGAAGUUACGUUGGCAAUGGUUGCAUCUGCACCUGUCACGGUCUUUCUCUGUUCUUGUGUAGUGUUCCCAGACGUCUGAUCUUGUGUUUGACUGCUUCUUUGCAGCUGGACGAGAGCUACCUCUUGAACAAACCUUCCUCUUGCCUGUCCUAUCACGGCGUGCUAUCUCCUCUUGAGUUUCUUCAACUCCAUUCUCUGUCUCAGAGUCAGUCAAUGUUCUCCGGUAAUGGUGAAGAAUCCAUCUAUAAAAUAAAAUAAAGAGUAAAGAACAUCAAUAAGAGAAGACAGGAUUACAAGCACAUAUCAAUAAGAAGAUAAAUAACGUUUUAAAAAUAAAUGAUUUCAAUCUCAACUCUAUAAAACAAAUCGAUUUCAAUCUCAAUUCAGCAAUUCUAGUUCUACAAGAAGAAAAAAAAAAUCAAAUUCAACGUCAGACCAUAACAUAACAUAUAAAUACAAAUCGAUUUCAAUCUCAAUUCAGCAAUUCUAGUUCUACAAGAAGAAAAAAAAUCAAAUUCAAUGUCAGACCAUAUCAUAACAAUUACAAUCAAAACUCACAAAUAUUACAAACCUUAACUAAACAAAUCCGAGAAGACAAAUAGACAAAAUCGACAAACUCAUGCAUGCAAAUCAAUUAACUAGAGUCCUAGACUAAAUCGAUCACAAGACUAUAACCAAAUACUGAAACAAUGAUCAAAGAUAAAAAAAAAUAGAUUCUUACUUGAGAUAUGUUUCUCGAUGAAUCAGAAGCAAACGAGAGAGAAUGAAUUUGAGAUUGGUAUCGGAUAUUCAUCUCC
rnacentral:lncRNA from 1 species